rnacentral:lncRNA from 10 species
AGCCCGGGGUCCCGGAGCAGCCCGCUAGGCGGUGGCGGUGGCGGCGGCGAGGAGGGGGCGUCGGGCGCGGAGCCUGGGCCUGGCGCGGGGCGGGGGUGGCGGGGACCUCGGGGCGGGGCGCGCUGACGGACGCGGCCAGUGCCACGCUCACCACACCAACUUCUAACAGCAGCCACAAUCCGCCAGCCACCGAUGUCAAUCAGAACCCACCGGCAACUGUUGUCCCACAGAGCCUGCCACUUUCUAGCAUCCAACAGAAUUCCUCAGAGGCCCAACUCCCAUCUAAUGGCACAGGGCCUGCUUCCAAACCCAGCACCCUGUGUGCUGAUGGGCAACCCCAGGCACCGGCUGAGGAGGUGAGAUGCAGCACACUCCUAAUUGACAAGGUAUCAACUCCAGCUACCACCACCAGCACCUUCUCCAGAGAAGCUACGCUCAUCCCCAGCUCCAGGCCCCCAGCCUCAGAUUUCAUGUCCAGCUCCCUGCUCAUUGACAUCCAGCCCAACACCCUAGUGGUGUCAGCAGAUCAAGAGAUGUCUGGGCGAGCA